rnacentral:misc_RNA from 1 species
GGUGUACAGUACUACUUUGAUGUGUACUAGAUUUGGUCGCUGAUGUUUGCCGAUCAGUUUGUAUUGGAUAGUUGCGCCAUAGUUCUCGAACCCAAAUGCUGAGGCAGAAUUUUAUAAGCCACAAGAUCAACAGCUUGAAAUAAAAUAUUAAUAAAUUAAUACAUAAUGAGGUUUUUUUUCCUAAUAUUUUGUAAUGUUGCGUUUUAAACAUUAUUUGAUAGUAAAAAACUGGAGAAAUUAGUGCGAAGCACCACUGAAUGCCUUGGCCUGUAGGGGAGGAAAUCUCAUGAUUCUUAUGCUCUACAUUCCACAAUAAUACAACACUUUUAAUACAUUUUUAUAUUCGACAGCGGAUAAGCUAAAGGGGUAAGCUGGCUAACGCAAGGAUCUCAGAACAAUACAAGACGGAGGAACACUCCCACGGAGGAGAGGUUCGAACCAGAAUACAAUAUAUAAAUGAUACAUAACAACUUAUUCGACUGUACUGAUCAUUGUUAAUCCAGUAAACACCUUUUGUUACCACCUUGCUGCAAGCUGAUGAAUAGGCUCUAUUCAACCUACUUGCUCUAUUUAUAUUCCUACUGUAGAGUAUACUAUAGGCUUAUAAUAAGAAGUAACCGACAUUAGUAUUGUUUUAAAUCCAGUAAACACAUUUUGUUACCACCCUGCUGAGCAAGCCAAAUGUGCUGUAAUUUCAGAGUGUGAAAUACUGCAUAAAAUUAAGGCAAAAUAUCAUUAUUAGGCACCGGAAUAUUUAAAAGCAAAGUAGUGCAUUAAGCCUUAUAAUAGACUCAUUUAUUUAUCAAAUUACGAUGAAGAACGACAAAGCUCAAGUCAGUCUUUAUUCGAAUUAAUACGAGUGAAUAUCCAAUAUGAAAAAAUAAUAUACUCGUAUCGGUUGAAUAUUCAAUACAGUAUAUUUAUGUUUAAGUCCAUCGGAUCGGCCGGGUUGUCCCUCUGCUGAGUUAUCGGACUCCCACUGCCUAGAAUACUAAAUCUCAAUGAUUAAUAUUUAUCCCGUAAUUUACCUAAUCGAAAUGCUCAACUUUAUAUGGAGAUUAUAAUUAAUGAUAAAUGUUAUUUAGGCCUACUUGAAUACAAUUGUGGUGUCUCUACAGUACCUCCAUUCCGGAAAAAAAGCAACCUUUUUGCCUGGAGGGUAUGACGUUUCCAUCGUGAUCUUUCAGACGAAUUAAUUCUUACAGUAUGACGGUAUUGAUGCACUUUACACAUAUUUUUACACUAUAGAGAGUUUUCGCCAUACAUUCUUUCAAGAACAUAAUGUUUUGUGAACUUGCAUAUUCUAUUUUUCAGUAAAUAUUUCCUCAUACACGAUAUUAUUUCUUAAUGCAUUUUGUUUUGGUAGUUCAAAUGUCGAGCAACUUGUCGUCUGUACUUCUACGAUAGGCUGUAAUCAAUAAAAAAUAAUAUAGUACCGUAAUCAUGUUCUACUUUUCAUUACAAGUUGUAAUACAUAGUAAAAAGUUAUACACCUACUCGAGUGUUUGAAUUAUUACACUUUAUUCACAUUCUUUACAGAAUUUUUCUCCAUGUUACCGGGCUUAUGUUCAUAUAUACUAUUUUUGCAAUAUGUAAUUUAUUAAGAUAGUAUAAUACAUACUCCAAGUAUCGAAAUGCACGAUCGUGUCGGGAUUUAAUAUUUCGACAUUAAUUAUGUCAUCAUCAGGAUUUAUUAAUUAUCAUUAAUACGUAAUUAUUUGUAUAUAAUUGAAGUUCAUAUACACAUAUACAUGUUAUAUACAGGGUUCCUGUCGGGCCCGUCCAGUACUCAACAUUUCUGCCGACGACCCGGCAUCACUAUUUUUGCAAUUGAUAUAGUACAAAAACAGUAUAGGCUAACAAAAUGUUCCGUUACACAACUACUGGAAUAGGGAGUUGUUGUUGAUUAUCAACUCACUCUGGCUAGACAAUGAACACGCUUGCUACAUCAGAUAAGACAAAAGAUAUCAAUUAACGUCUCCGUGGUAACGUUAACUUUUAACGCUACUACUAUGGACAGGCAUAGUAUUGUUGCUUUUUAUUGAGCAACAAACGAUUGAAUCGGUGGCAUGAAUCGUGUACAUAUUUGGGUAUAUAGAAUAGCAGGUUUUAUUAUAUUAAUAUAUUUUUAUGAUGUUUACAAUUCUUAAUGUGAUUUCAAUUUGUGCUUUUUUCAAUAGUUUUUAAAGUAAUUUGUAAAUAUUAUUCAAAACUUACAUUUGUUAUUCUAUGUAACUAAACUAUACAAUCUACAUCAAAUGAAAAACACUAUAAUAGACUAUGAAGAAAUGUUAUUAAACCAACAUUAUUAUUUUUAUACGUUCCCAUGCAAUCAUGUUAAUGACCAAUGAAUGCAAUGUUGAAUGACCACUUUUUUUUUUUUAACGUUUAUUGGAUAAAUGUAGCGUGGAUAGAGAAUUAACGUGCAAUUUAUGGUAUGGAGAAUCCUAUGACAAGUAUAUGAAAAAAGUAAUAAAAAUUGACAAGAUUGCUGUAUACAAUUGGUGUAUAGGAAGUAACACUCUAAUGAUUUAGGGGAGAAAUUCUGGUAUAUUUCUUAAGAGGUAUCAACAUUUAAAGGUUGCAUGAAUUUUCUUUAUAUUGGGUGAAUAUUUUGAAACUAAUGUAGUCAUUGCGAUAGGCCUACAUUGAUAUUAAUGAUAUUGUAUGUAUUUCUUAAUUGGGAUGGUCUCUUUACGACCUAUCACCGGUUUCUAUCCCAUCUACAAUGUAAAUUGGAGGACUCAAUUGUAGGCUCACAAAUGAGUGGAAUGAAUCUUGUCUUUGGCUCGGAUGAAGAGAAGGCCCCAACAAAGGCAGUAAAAAGUGUUUUCCCUUCAUCAGAUUUAGUGUUAUGCAUGCAGCACAUAUCAAAGAAUGUGAAUCAUCACCUAAUUAAGAUUGGCGUGGAAAUCAGCGAAAGAAGAAAAAUAAUGGAUACGAUAUUUGGCGCAACAGGACUUAUGGCAUGCAAAGAGGAAUAUGAAUAUUUAAAAAAAGCCAUGGAGUUGCAUGAAAAAUAUGUAAAUGAGGUACCAACAUUUGCAAAUUAUUUUAAGAAUUUAACAGAUAAAUUGUUGGAAAAUGUUGUCAAAUCUCGUAACAAAAACAAAUGGAUUCCGUUAGAUUGGAAGAAUAACUCAUGUGAAAGCUUAAAUAAUAUCCUGAAAUUAGCAGUGAAUUGGAAAACCCUGAAACUGCCGGACUUAAUUAAUAGAAUUAAUAAUAUUGUUAAAUUACAGCUCUGUGAUAUCCGUAGAGCAAUACAUGGAACAGGCAAUUUUAAACUUGCACCAUGGAUGGCAAAGUUUGCAGUAAAACAUGUAAAUUGGGUGAAGAAAAGUGAGGCCGAAAAAGAAAAUGUAUAUCGUAAAUUUAUGAAAGGUCCCAAAAAACUAAACAGUCACAUUUGCUCAACGGACGGUGGAUUAACUAUACCAACGGUUGCUAAGAGUGCCCGAAAACCAGGCCAAAAACACCGUGUGAAAAAUGCAAAAACUCAAAAAGUACGAUUUUAAAUAUAUGCAAAUUAUUUAUAGAAAAAAAAAA